AGAGCGAACGCUGGCGGCAGGCUUAACACAUGCAAGUCGAGCGGGCGUAGCAAUACGUCAGCGGCAGACGGGUGAGUAACGCGUGGGAACGUACCUUUUGGUUCGGAACAACCCAGGGAAACUUGGGCUAAUACCGGAUAAGCCCUUACGGGGAAAGAUUUAUCGCCGAAAGAUCGGCCCGCGUCUGAUUAGCUAGUUGGUGGGGUAAUGGCCCACCAAGGCGACGAUCAGUAGCUGGUCUGAGAGGAUGAUCAGCCACAUUGGGACUGAGACACGGCCCAAACUCCUACGGGAGGCAGCAGUGGGGAAUAUUGGACAAUGGGCGCAAGCCUGAUCCAGCCAUGCCGCGUGAGUGAUGAAGGCCCUAGGGUUGUAAAGCUCUUUUGUGCGGGAAGAUAAUGACGGUACCCGCAGAAGAAGCCCCGGCUAACUUCGCGCCAGCAGCCGC
rnacentral:rRNA from 1 species